AGUACUGGUUCAUGGGGAAAGAGAAUCAGCAAAAUGAAGUUGUUUAGUGACAGAAAAGGAGCAAAGAUGCACUACUUUUCUGUUUCUGUGUUUGGAAUAAGAUCACUAAUAAAGGACAAACAUGAAAAAUUCAAGACUUAAAAGUUCUAAAAAGCAGCUUGACCAGGAUUUUUCAUUAACUGUGUAACAAUAACUUCACUGAGAAAAAUAAACUUUCUUUGCAGAUAUAAAAAAAAUAAUCUUAAGCAUAAUUCCAAAACGCAAAAAACCUCAAAUAAAUGGAGUGUAACAGCUUUUCCCAUUUAGUCUGUAAACAAUCUAACUUGCACAAUUAGCCUUGAUCAUGUUUCAAUACUUUCUCAUUUAAAAAAAAAAUCAUAAAAACCAAACUGAAGAAUUACAGUAGUAGCCUAAUAGCAUUCAUAUAGAAAUAACUGUAGCUUCAGCUUUUAAAUAGGGACACAGCUUAUAUUUCACAUUACCAGAGUAGACGACAAGCACUCCACUGCCUUGAUUCAGGAUUUUUGCAAGCCUUCUUUUUCAGAUGUUAACAAAAGUGAGCUAAGAACUGAGCCAGCUCAUAACCAAUAGAGCUAUUUAAUCUAAUGGAUGUGUUUAGCUGCAUUAUUAGCAGGUGCCUUUUGCACCAUUCCAAUAUCAAAAUAACAUUUACUAUGAUGUAAAAAAUCAAAAUCACACAGGAUUGAUUUUUGUAGUGCAGAGAAUCAUUCUACGAUAGAAACCCAUACUGUGGUGCACACAAUUCUCUGAAGUCUACAGCAACUAGCAUUCUGUAGACUUAAAAAUUUUCAGCAUAAAGCACAUUCAGGGCAACAGUUCUAUUCUGGGCUUUUCUAAAGGUGCUGUCAUUUUUUUAAAAAAUACGUACAACACCUGGUGGUGUUUAUCUAGAAUCUCUCCUGCAGGGUGGAAAAUACAGAAUAGAAUCUUACACAGGAUCAUGACUGUGACUUGUUGCUGUUCUGUUAAGUUUGUGGGUUUUUUUAAAGGACUUAAGUAUUUCAGAAGUGCUACAGACAAAACUGAAACUUGGAAUCUAUUAGAGAUGAAAACAGAAGGAACAUACAGCAUGGGAAGGGCUAUCAACUGUGGUACUAGCACCUGUGAUGUGACAUUCUUUUUCAAAUAUGACGACAAACAACAAAGGCCUUAACCAAAGUAACACACUACCAAGUCUUUUGAAGUCUGCAGAGGUGCUCUACACAUACCUACCCUGUGGAUAAGGUGCACUACAAGCAGAUUAUUAGUGAAGCUCAAGUUGGAAUAUUGAUGGUCUCAGAACAGAUGUUUACAGAAUAUCCCUGGUGACCAGACUCCUUCAGAAAUACCAUCUCUCCUCACCUCAAGCUGCUGACUUUCAGCAUACAAUGGUAAGGCUAUACAUUCACCUAAUUAACGGAGACAAGAUCCUUUAUGAGCAAGGUUAUUACCAGGAGAUCAAACAAGACAAAGCAUUGGUGAAUUUUACCUUCUCACUAGCUGAUCAUUUCUGCUUUAUUUUCACAGAGCUGCUGCAAUUUUGUUUGGGACAAACAUGCUCAGGAUUGUCAAUUAAAUGCAUGACUUACAGUGCAAAAACCACUAACACAGGAAAAAGUAUUUUGUGAAAAUAUUAUAUAAAAAUCAAGUAAUGCAUCAACUGUUAUCAAAAGGUAAAAUAAACUGGUCAGAGACAAGCAGAGAUUCCAAGAAGUGGGAUGCUAAGUAUUCUGAAAUAAUGUAUAGCUAGGCUAUUUUACCUUUUACAGGAGACAUAUGCCCAACCGAGAACCUCUAUAGGUGAUGUAUAUGCUGUAUGAUACAUGCUGUAACAGGUUUUGAGCUUGCUGACUGAUUAGUGUAUCUGCAGUAAAAACCAGCAAGACCUGCACUGUGGAACAGUGGGGCUAACGUUUAUUAAGCAGCGCAAGUUUGGUCAGGUGGGACAAACUCAGUGUAUGAGAGCAUGAGGACAGGUCAUUCUUUACAGGGUGAAAAAGAAAGCACUUGUGCAGCUGAAGAGCAGAAGUGAGGACAAUUCUUUGUAAGUAGUUAUGUGCCAGGUAGAACAUUCUAAGGGCAGGAUCCUGUAUCACUUUGCCAAAAUUCUGCACCUGUUUAUUGUAGUGAGACAAUAAAGGAUUACAGGUAAGCACGGUACAGGUAUGCACAGUACACAAAGCUUUCUCUGUUCCUUUACUAUACCCCUUCACUUAAGUGACAGCUCUGUGAUGAUUUGUUUGAAAGAAAGAGCGUUAUUAAAAGAAGGA